GAAACGACUGCUAAGACUGGAUAGGAAGAUAAAAGGCAUCUUGUAUCUUUUAAAAGACCUAGUUAAUAGGUAUGCUUUAGGAGGGGCUUGCGCCAUAUUAGUUAGUUGGUAGGGUAAUGGCCUACCAAGACGAUGAUGUGUAGCUGGACUGAGAGGUUGAACAGCCACAUUGGGACUGAGACACGGCCCAAACUCCUACGGGAGGCAGCAGUAGGGAAUUUUCGGCAAUGGAGGAAACUCUGACCGAGCAACGCCGCGUGAAUGACGAAGUACUUCGGUAUGUAAAGUUCUUUUAUCGAGGAAGAAAAGCAAAUGGCGAACCAUUUGUUUGCCGGUACUUGAUGAAUAAGCCCCGGCUAAUUAUGUGCCAGCAGCCGCGGUAAGACAUAAGGGGCAAGUGUUAUCCGGAAUUAUUGGGCGUAAAGGGUGCGUAGGCGGUCUAGUAAGUCAGUGGUGUAAUGGCAACGCUUAACGUUGUCCGGCUAUUGAAACUGCUAAACUUGAGUUAGAUAGAGGCGAGUGGAAUUCCAUGUGUAGCGGUAAAAUGCGUAAAUAUAUGGAGGAACACCAGAGGCGUAGGCGGCUCGCUGGGUCUUAACUGACGCUGAGGCACGAAAGCGUGGGGAGCAAACAGGAUUAGAUACCCUGGUAGUCCACGCCGUAAACGAUGAGUACUAAGUGUUGGGUUAAACCGGUACUGAAGUUAACACAUUAAGUACUCCGCCUGAGUAGUACGUACGCAAGUAUGAAACUUAAAGGAAUUGACGGGACUCCGCACAAGCGGUGGAUCAUGUUGUUUAAUUCGAAGAUACCCGAAAAACCUUACCAGGUCUUGACAUGUUUUUGCAAAAUGAUAGUAAUAUCGUGGAGGUUACCAGAAACACAGGUGGUGCAUGGUUGUCGUCAGCUCGUGUCGUGAGAUGUUAGGUUAAGUCCUAAAACGAGCGAAACCCUUAUCGUUAGUUGCCAGCACGUUAUGGUGGGGACUUUAACGAGACUGCCAAUGAUAAAUUGGAGGAAGGUGAGGAUCACGUCAAAUCAGCAUGCCCCCUAUGACCUGGGCUACAAACGUGAUACAAUGGCUGUUACAAAGGGUAGCUGAAACGCAAGUUCUUGGCCAAUCCCCAAAAACAGUCCCAGUCCGGAUUGAAGUCUGCAACUCGACUUCAUGAAGUUGGAAUCGCUAGUAAUCGCGAAUCAGCAUGUCGCGGUGAAUACGUUCUCGGGGUUUGUACACACCGCCCGUCA
rnacentral:rRNA from 1 species